ensembl:snRNA
GCAUUGUAUGAAAGGAGAGAAGGUCAGUACUUCUCUUGACAAGGAUGGAAGAGGCCCUUGUCAAGGGCCUCUAAGUUCGUGGCAUCUAACCACUGUUUUUU